UCCUGGCUCAGGAUGAACGCUAGCGACAGGCUAACACAUGCAAGUCGAGGGGCAUCACGGGAGUAGCAAUACAACUGGUGGCGACCGGCGCACGGGUGAGUAACGCGUAUGCAACCUACCUAUCAGAGGGGAAUAACCCGGCGAAAGCCGGACUAAUACCGCAUAAAACAGGGGCACCGCAUGGUGAUAUUUGUUAAAGAAAUUCGCUGAUAGAUGGGCAUGCGUUCCAUUAGGUAGUUGGUGAGGUAACGGCUCACCAAGCCGACGAUGGAUAGGGGAACUGAGAGGUUGGUCCCCCACACUGGUACUGAGACACGGACCAGACUCCUACGGGAGGCAGCAGUGAGGAAUAUUGGUCAAUGGGCGGGAGCCUGAACCAGCCAAGUCGCCGUGAAGGAAGAAGGAUCUAUGGUUCGUAAACUUCUUUUGCAGGGGAAUAAAGUGCAGGACGUGUCCUGUUUUGUAUGUACCCUGAGAAUAAGGAUCGGCUAACUCCGUGCCAGCAGCGGC
rnacentral:rRNA from 1 species